AUGGAGCAGUUCCGUGACGGCGACCACGUGCGGCUGCGCAGCCGCGAGUACGGCACGUACCUGCACGCCGACGAGGACGGGCAUGGCGUCUCCCUCCACCACCGACGGGCGUCGAUGAACGCGGCUUGGGUGGUGCACGUGUACGAGCCCCCCGAGGCGCCUGUGCCGUACCUACUCCUCCACAGCGCCGCCUACGGCCGGUACCUCGCCGCCACGAACGUGGAGGCGCCGCAGGGUCACCACUGGCGCCGCGUCGAGCAGCGGGGCUGCGACCAGCCGGAGGUGGAUCUAAUCCCUUGGCUGGCCAUCCGGACGGAAUCCGGAGACGAAGUCUACCUCGACCAUUUCCACGGCGGCUGCCUCCGCGCCAACCGGAACACCGGCGUCAGCGUCGAUGUCGACGACCCCGACAACCCCAGCCCGACGACGCUCUGGGUCGUGGAGCCCAUCCCCGCCACGCGGAGGAUGCCUCGCCUUCCACUUCCACCUCCGGCUUGCCUGCACCCUCCCUUCAACCACGACGAGGUGCUGUCGCGGGAAAUCACGUACGUGUGGCCGAACGUCGAGGGGGCCCUCGUCAACCACAACGUGUUCGUCUUCAGGGGAAGGUCCUUGUACCAGCUGAGGCACGAGCUGGCCUGGCGGCUGGAGGUGGACGUCUCUCACCUCGCCAUGUGCCUCCCCACACGUUAUGGCCGGUUUUCCCCACUCGUCGUCGACCUGCCCCGCAACCAGCAGGCCCUCAUCGUCGUCGUCGACUUCGCGGGGACGCCUGCUCACGCGGCGCUGCGGUACGCGGAUGUCGAUGCAGCGUAG
rnacentral:rRNA from 1 species